rnacentral:lncRNA from 1 species
UGAGAAACACUUAAAAUCUUAGAAAACAGCACUGAUCGACAGUAGAUCUUAGAGAGAGACAAAUAAAACCUCGAAGUCUUAGGGUUUCAGAGAAAAACCUAGAGAAAUGAGAAAGGCCUAGAACGGGCUGGCCCUGAGUCGAAGAUGGACUCACAAGGCUAGAACUCAACGAAAAUGAGCCGAAAAUGGUCAUAGAACUUGAAUCGGACAGGUUCUGAGCUGGGGUCUUCAAGUUCAGACCUUGAAUCUUCAUGCAAAAGGAGGAUAAGGAUGAGUGUGGUUAGAUAUAGGGUACACAGGGCCUGGGAAGCCAUGAUUUCCGGUGGAACAGGGUCGGAGAUCAGCAGAAAGGGCUAGGGUUUCAGAGGGGGCUUGAGAGCAUUUUUGAGAGAUGAGGGGAUACAAGGGAG